CCUACGGGAGACAGCAGUGGGGAAUAUUGCACAAUGGGGGGAACCCUGAUGCAGCGACGCCGCGUGGGUGAAGGAGUAUUUCGGUAUGUAAAGCCCUAUCAGCAGGGAAGAACAAUGACGGUACCUGACUAAGAAGCACCGGCUAAAUACGUGCCAGCAGCCGCGGUAAUACGUAUGGUGCAAGCGUUAUCCGGAUUUACUGGGUGUAAAGGGAGCGCAGGCGGCGCGUUAAGCCUGGUGUGAAAGUCCGCGGCCCAACCGCGGGACUGCAUUGGGAACUGGCGCGCUGGAGUGCCGGAGGGGUAGGCGGAAUUCCUGGUGUAGCGGUGAAUGCGUAGAUAUUAGGAGGAACACCAGUGGCGAAGGCGGCCUACUGGACGGUGACUGACGCUGAGGCUCGAAAGCGUGGGGAGCAAACAGGAUUAGAUACCCGAGUAGUC
rnacentral:rRNA from 1 species